rnacentral:snoRNA from 1 species
UUAUGAUGACCUCUUAGAUGACGAGUCGGAAGAGUUAUUCGCUGUCGACAACCCUUUUUUAUACCAUUCAUGCAUUACCUGAAC